GAUGAAGAACUUAUCGAAAUGCGAUAAGUAAUGUGAAUUGCAGAAUUCAGUGAAUCAUCGAAUCUUUGAACGCACAUUGCGCCCCUUGGUAUUCCGAGGGGCAUGCCUGUUCGAGCGUCAUUAUAACCCCUCAAGCUCAGCUUGGUGUUGGGGCCUGCUGCACUGGCAGCCCUUAAAAUCAGUGGCGGCGCCAUCUGGCUCUAAGCGUAGUAAUUCUUCUCGCUAUGGAGUCCUGGUGGAUGCUUGCCAUCAACCCCCAAUUUUUCUAUGGUUGACCUCGGAUCAGGUAGGGAUACCCGCUGAACUUAAGCAUAUCAAUAAGCGGAGGA
rnacentral:misc_RNA from 1 species